rnacentral:misc_RNA from 1 species
GUGAAUCAUCGAAUCUUUGAACGCACAUUGCGCCCGCCAGUAUUCUGGCGGGCAUGCCUGUCCGAGCGUCAUUACAACCCUCAGGCCCCCGGGCCUGGUGUUGGGGAUCGGCGGAGCCCUCCGGGGCACACGCCGUCCCCCAAAUUCAGUGGCGGUCUCGCUGCAGCCUCCAUUGCGUAGUAGCUAACACCUCGCAACUGGAAGGCGGCGCGGCCACGCCGUAAAACCCCCAACUUCUGAAUGUUGACCUCGGAUCAGGUAGGAAUACCCGCUGAACUUAAGCAUAUCAAUAAGCGGAGGA